AUUAUGCAUUUUGCAGAAUUGCUGGCAGGUACUGACAAAGGCAUGGGCCUCUGGGGGUGCUUUGCAUAACAGUAGCCACUAAGGCUGUGGCCAGAGAACAAGAAAUGCACCUGGAUGCUCAGUCAGCCCCAGGAAAUUUUGCCACAUCGGAAGUCAGUCAGCAAGACAAUGAUGUCAAGGGCUCUACCUACAUCUGACGGGUCUGGUUUCUAUAUAAGCAGUAUAGGGCAGGCAAAAUGGCUCCGCAGGGGCGGACACUGAAGAACCGAGAGGAUAUGUACAUUGUAAACUGUCUGAGGACACACGGCUGGCCAACGGCAGGAAUAGAACUGAAGAGGUUUCUUAUCUCUUCAGAGGGUGGCAGAGAAUUCUGACCCACUGGAGUGAGGCAAGACCAGAUGGCAGGUGCCAAAGGCUGGGCAGACACGUGUAGAACUGAAGUACCUGGCAGCUGUCAAGACAGAAUUUGCUCUCCCCCACCAUGCCCCACCCAUAGUCAUGACAACUUUGGGAUGUAUCCAACCUCACUGGAGCUACCAGAAUGGCAAUAGUAAGUAUGGGCACGCUAGGAGUUAAUGCUUUGGAGAAGGUGGCCUAAGAUCUCAACCUGGAGGGUGCUCAAAGAUGCUGGCUAAGUUGGGGGGUGGGUGAUGUUAGAGAGAGCAAGUUCAGAAGAACAGAGAAGCCAGAAGUGGGAGGAGCCAGCCAAUCAGAUGGUCUGGAAGGCACAGAGAGGAAGCAGUAAGGGCAGACCAGAUUUAUCAGCAGUGGCUAGGCAUCGCUUACAGAAUAAAUAACCAGUAGGAUGUCCUUUGAUGCCUGGGGGAUCAAGAGUGUGGAUCCGUGAUAAAGCGAUGGACCAGAGAGAGCUUCUCUACGGCCAAGAGAGCAAAGCAACCAGGAGCUGUGGAGCAAAGGGAGCUGAGUUUAUUUAUAGAGUUACCAGCCCCCCAAGGGCUAGCCUGGAACAUACCUGAAAACAGAAGCAACCUAGGACAAACCACAAAGGCCCACCCAACCGCAGAUAAGACAUCUGUCACUUCCUGAAUAUCUGUACUGUUUGACUUAAGAGUCUGACCUGAGGGAAAAGAGUCAGAACCCAUGUGUGCACACACAUGCAUUUGUACAUCCACAUGUGUGCACACUUGUGGAAUUACGGAUUUGUGUCUACUAAGUUCAGUGUUCCACUACUGAGGGGUAUUCCAGGCUCCGGACAAGUUCUUUGAGUGACCAUGGGCAUCUAAAGCCAGCAGCUGAGAAGGGAGCAAAGCCAGAGUUGAAGUAGAUUUGGCCUUCUGAAGAGAUGUCCUCCCUGCCUCUCUCCUCCACUGCACUUCCGGAAUCAUAAAGGCCAGAAGUUAUCUAAGGCCUAGGACAACAGAGAAGCCCUUAGUCUGUUGGCUGCCAACCCCUCACCACGGCCUAGAUUCCCAACAGUGAAGAGUCACAUUCUGGAGACUUGCACAGUCCCCAAACACGUUUAGAAAGUACAGCCAACAGAGACACUCAAAGGUGCUUCGAGGAUACAGAAGAGCUCAGAGAAGAAAGCCCACUGGGAUCAGAUAAACGAAUGCCUUAUUUUUUUUUAAGGGCAAUAAAGUGUAUCCUACACAAAUUUCUCCCAGUAAGCCGGAGUGAUAAUUACUCUGCAUUGUCAGCCUGAGGGGGGCAGAAUCAUCUGUGUGACACUUCUCUGGUUAUAUCUCAGACAUCUGAGCGAGCCCUUCCAGUGAGGUUUAACUGAGGUGGGGAAAGAAGACCCACCGGGAAUGUUCGCAGCAUCUCCCGGCAGGUUGGGUCUGGGACUGAUAAGGAGAAAGCGAGCUGAGAACCAGGGUUCAUCUCUCCCUGCUGUGUAAGCAGGACCCGCCCUCCUACGGCUGUACCUCCCCCGCCAUGCUCAUGUGCCUUAAAACUGUGAGUCAAACCAACCCUUACGGCAGGUAUUUCUCACACAGUCCUAGUUACAAUUAACCCACCCAAAUGCCCACCAUCCAUUCUACCCCAGCUCACGAUAGAUACCAUGCCCAGAUACAUCAGCGAGACACCAGCCUUCACAGAUGCCUUUUUCUCACUUUCAGGCUCCUUCGCAUUCAGCCGGAGCCUUUGGUCUAUUUUCUCAGGAUUAUCAGUAGCCAUUUCACACGGAUGUUUACCAAAGGCAAAAAAAAGUUUGAUCAGCUUCC